rnacentral:tRNA from 1 species
GUUAGCUCAGUCGGUAGAGCGCUCGACUGUUAAUCGAUAGGUCGUUGGUUCGAGUCCAAC